CGAGGCCGCGUGGAGGAAGAAGGCCUUCGGCCUUGUAAACUGUUUUGCUUGGGAAGAUAGUGACGGUACCCUGCGAAUAAGCCACGGCUAACUCUGUGCCAGCAGCCGCGGUAAUA
rnacentral:rRNA from 1 species